CCGGUGAGUCUUGAGUAUCCGAAUACAAGUUCGUACACGAACUAAUGAAACGGAAAACUUCCAUUGACAACACUUCCAUUGACAACACAAUGCUCCCUGCAAGACUAUCAUCCAAACCAAGUGAAAGAUUUUGAAGGUAAGUAGGUUCCAUAACGGAAAACACUAGGCUAUCAAGGCCCAAACUACUUCGGUUCAAUGUAAAGAAGCAACUACUAUCACAUUUCUUUCCCAGCUGCCACGAAUGGGGAGAAAAUAGCAACAAUGCAUCCACUGUUACAACACAAACCAACACAUAGUUAAAAAUAGC
rnacentral:lncRNA from 1 species